CCCCUCUCGGGGUCACACCUGGAGAGUUCCCAGUACUCUGCCGGUCUCGACUACAGGAGGGAGAGUCAGGCAGAGGCAUAUCCCUUCCAUUUCUAGCUUGGGCAGUGGCUAGCGAGUGGAAGGCAAUCGGCUACAGGU
rnacentral:snoRNA from 1 species